GAUCCCAUCUCAACUAUUAAUUUUGUAUUUCAUCCGCAAAAGUUUAGAACAAAAGAGACAACGAACCAGCUGCGUGAGCCUGAUUCAAAGAGGUUAAUUGACGUAAUUGCUGCUAAUGGUGUUCUGUUCAUAAUGGCAGCGCUCCGAAUAGAAAGAGACUGGAAAAUCAUCAUUUUCCAUUGCAUGCGUUGGUAGGCUCAAGUUUAUCUCUUGAUGUGCACAGCCUUCAUGAAAUCCGCUGAAGCAGACUUCCUGUGUGCAGGUGAGCUCUUUUCCCAUCUUCUUCUUGGGCUUCUUAAAGGAGACAAAUUACUCAGGAAGGGAGAGAAUUGUUCACAGGCGUCAACUUCUAAAGCUACAAAAUAUGGUGGUGUGAGGAAGAUAGAAUAUCACCUUGGCUGAGCUUAAUAUAUUCGUUUUGAAUAAACAUAUAAUAAACAUUUCGCCAUAAGUAAAUGGAACGACUAAUGUGUACCUUUCUAAACUCCCAACGCUGCAGGCCGUUGAGUUCCCAUGCACAGGGGCAGUUGUUGGCAUUUAUACAGCGAAUGGAUGGUCCAAACUGCAAUGUUGGAGUUUGAGGUACCGUGUCCAGAUGACCGUCUCCUUAGCAUCUGACUUUGCUGAGUUUGUAGCUUUCGACUCUGAUAUAAGUAAGCUGACUAAUAUCAGAGCUGCAGAGAUCUCUCAACAAAUGGUAAUCUUGAACAACUUGCUCUCAAUUCUCUGUCUUUGUCAUUCGUAAACAUAAAAUUCAAGUACCUGAAAUAUUAUUCGUCUCCAGAAAACGCAGGUCUCCGAGACCCCCCAGAGUUGGGCCUUGCCACAAUGCAUAGAGGACAUUGUUGGUCGCACCUUCCAGUUGAAGUUCUCUCGGCUCAAGUUCUUAUAUAAACAUCAGAGUUUCACUGUAUCUCGCAUUUACGAUACUCACCGAUGUCGACCACAACCAAUUUUGAGAACCAAGGUGGUGAUAACAACCCUGGUGAUGAUAUGCCUGGUGGUGGAGCUGUUAAAAUAUGCCAUCUAGCUGAGAACAGAAGGGACUUGGACAUUAGAUGCAACAUUGCUGAUGUGAAUGUUGCUGGGCAAACAUCUGCUCCAAAUGGAUGAAAUGAGGCACCUGUAGCUGAACAGAAAACAUGAGAGGAAAGGCGCUCGACAAAGAAGAAGAGAAACGAUGAAAUUAUCAAGUUCUAAGAGUGAUUGACUAUGAAGUUACGCUCACUGAAACCUUGCAUUCCAGUCUUCAAAAAUUUCUCACAUUUCAUAAGAUAAGACUUUUAUUUUCCUAAAACGGUGUCAUUUCUUUUUUGGUUAUUAUGAUUUUUUUAUUUGACUCAGAGUUCCCUUUGUAGGGUUGAGAAUAAUAAGUACUUUACUUUGAACAACAAAAAAUUUGGAGAGUCAAUAACAACACCAGCACAAAACUUCAAAAA